rnacentral:rRNA from 1 species
CUGGCGGCGUGCUUAACACAUGCAAGUCGAACGGAAGUAGAAAUACUUUAGUGGCGGACGGGUGAGUAACGCGUGAGCAACCUGCCCUUAUCAGGGGGAUAACACAGAGAAAUUUGUGCUAAUACCGCAUAACGUUGCGAAUAGGCAUCUAAUUGCAACCAAAGAUUUAUCGGAUAAGGAUGGGCUCGCGUCCCAUUAGGUAGUUGGUGAGGUAACGGCCCACCAAGCCGACGAUGGGUAGCCGAUCUGAGAGGAUGAACGGCCACAUUGGAACUGAGAGACGGUCCAGACUCCUACGGGAGGCAGCAGUGGGGAAUAUUGGGCAAUGGGCGCAAGCCCUGACCCAGCAACGCCGCGUGAAUGAAGAAGGUUUUCGGAUUGUAAAGUUCUGUGAUGGGGGACGAAGAAAGUGACGGUACCCCAAUAGCAAGCUACGGCUAACUACGUGCCAGCCGCCGC